CCCUAUCCUUAGUUGCCAUCAGGUAAUGCUGGGAACUCUAAGGAGACAGCCUGUGAUAAGCAGGAGGAAGGUGGGGAUGACGUCAAGUCAUCAUGGCUCUUACGUCCUGGGCUGCAAACGUGCUACAAUGGCUGGUACAAAGGGUCGCGAUACCGCGAGGUGGAGCCAAUCCCAAAAAACCAGUCUCAGUUCGGAUUGGAGUCUGCAACUCGACUCCAUGAAGUUGGAAUUGCUAGUAAUCGCGGAUCAGCAUGCCGCGGUGAAUACGUUCCCGGGUCUUGUACACA
rnacentral:rRNA from 1 species